GAUGAACGCUGGCGGCGUGCCUAAUACAUGCAAGUCGAGCGAACAGACGAGGAGCUUGCUCCUCUGACGUUAGCGGCGGACGGGUGAGUAACACGUGGAUAACCUACCUAUAAGACUGGGAUAACUUCGGGAAACCGGAGGUAAUACCGGAUAAUAUAUUGAACCGCAUGGUUCAAUAGUGAAAGACGGUUUUGCUGUCACUUAUAGAUGGAUCCGCGCCGCAUUAGCUAGUUGGUAAGGUAACGGCUUACCAAGGCAACGAUGCGUAGCCGACCUGAGAGGGUGAUCGGCCACACUGGAACUGAGACACGGUCCAGACUCCUACGGGAGGCAGCAGUAGGGAAUCUUCCGCAAUGGGCGAAAGCCUGACGGAGCAACGCCGCGUGAGUGAUGAAGGUCUUCGGAUCGUAAAACUCUGUUAUUAGGGAAGAACAAAUGUGUAAGUAACUAUGCACGUCUUGACGGUACCUAAUCAGAAAGCCACGGCUAACUACGUG
rnacentral:rRNA from 1 species